ensembl:lncRNA
UGGCUAUAGCAAUUUUAUUUAAAACACUGCAGCUGACCCCACCCUGUGGUUUGCAAUGAUGUAUGACUUAGGAUAUCAAGGCAUUUCUUUAAGAAAUCUUUGCAAGCAUAUUUGUGCUUUGACAAGAGACAGUAGGAAAUUGUUUUUGCUAGAAGCGCAAAAGCCUGGACCACACAAGGACAAACAGAAGCACUUCAGUUAUUAUUCAACCUCACCCCUAGACUUUCCUUAUGUUCACAACAGCAAUUUAGUUUCAAACUUGGGCAAGUUCACAUGACAAAAUCCAGCAGACUUAUUUUUGAUGCAGUAAAAACAAGUCCAUGACAUCAAGUGUAUUGACAUGGCAACCAAAGACUAGUUUUAGUCCCAAUUAGUUUGACUGGUGCUUCCUCGUGAUUCCAUAAAUGGCUGAAACAGCACAGAGCCCACAGUAAUCUUAAUUGGAAAAAUUGGCAUAACUAAUGGAUUUGACACUUAUGGGCGCCCAAAACCUUGUAUCCAUAGCAGACCACUGGUCAUGAAAUGAAUACAUGGGCUGGAUUUAAUAUUCAAAUCAGUUGCUACAAACGACAUCUACAAAGCCAUGCAAUUAAUAAGUGUUACACAAUAGGAUUUACAGCCACAGAACUUUGCUUUAACUUGCACAAUAGUAAGAUAAUGGAACAGCAGAACAUUCAUUGCACCAGUGCCAGUCUCUAAAAGGCUGCCCUUUUUGUUUUUUACUGAUGACAAAAGCCUUGAGAAGGCUGAGAGAUUAAAACAAUUAGCAGUUCAAAGACCAUGUCUUGAAAUGCAUCAAACCAUUUAAUGUGACAGUUAACCAGAUAACCUGAAUGGAACGUCCGUUUCCCUGACAUGUCGGCCCUCAAGACACAUUCACUUAAUACAGUAUUAUAACAGUUAAGACACGUGCUUCCCACCCAGCUCCUCUGGGCCACCACCCAGCUCAAUUAGUCCACAGACUGAUGAUCAGUUUACCAAUUGAAUCAGGUGUGCCAGUUUAGAGUGAAAAAUGUCAGCCUGGGGGGCAAAAUGUAUUUUAACCCACAAUCUUAUUCAUCUUAAAACCAACACAGCAACUGUAAUGAAAAAUGUUCACCAAACUAAAAGGUGAGCGAUGAGAACCAAAUAUACAUUAAAGCGAAAGUAAACUACACUUAAAAUCCAGUGGACACAUUCAAAACAAACAGAUGUGGUCCAAAGACACCGAGGAACUUCUGCAGCAGGACAAUUCCCUCAAGUCCUCAACAGGCCGGGACAAGUGCAAUACCGUGAGGUCAAAGGGCAUUGCCGCCUAUCCCAACCGGCCGAGAAAGGGACUGCUAUUCCAAACGGAGGAUUUCCAGCCACUGCUGUGAUCAGUUUUGCAUGGAUUUGCACAGCAGUGCAUUGAAAAGCUGACCGCAAACCAGCAAAACUGACCAUAGCCCAGUGAUUCCGGCCCAGGCAAG